rnacentral:lncRNA from 1 species
GGGGUGGCAGGGGGUGGGUCGCAGAGACUGCGACGCGCAGGUGCGUCCUGGGUUUGCGGAGGGGUUGGACCGGGAUCCCACCCUGCUAGGAGAGAUGGGGAAGCUCCGCCGCCUACCCGCCUCAGAACAGAUGGGUUUAACCGUCCGCCUCAUCCUUGGCUGGGAAGAACCAGUGAAUGCGCGGGAAAGUUUGUAGCGAGCAGAGGCAGGCAUUCCUCGUGCGGGGCUCCGGACCCACAGUUGUAGAGCCAGCGGUCUGCGGGGAGCCAUUCUUUUUCUGAGAACCUGCCAUCGAGAACAGCAUUAAGGGAAACACACUUAUCCCAGGGGUCCUGGAACAACAUUAGGAAGCUGGAGGUGAAUGUUCACAGGCCCGUCACGUGGGAGACCCCCAGAGAGCUGGAGCGAUGAGCAUGUGGCAGUGAUUUGGGUCACACACGCUAAUGGCCCAAGAAAAUAACACCAUUAGUGCCAUAAUGGGGCAGCAGCAUCUCUGUCCCCAGGACACUCACUGACUGGAGAAGGACCCGGCCACCAGAUUCCAUAUGAUAUCGCUUUAUAUGUGGAUUUUUUAAAAAGACGUGUUUUUAAUAAACUGAAACCUAUAAUUGAUUCUGAGAUUCUGAGUGCUGAAUCAGAGUUGAGAACCACUGGCAACACGGAGGUUGGAAGUAAACCAGGUGAGCUUGACAGUGUUGCACUUUAUCUAAAUCUCUCUUUCAUC